GGGGAAUAUUGGACAAUGGGGGCAACCCUGAUCCAGCCAUGCCGCGUGUGCGAUGAAGGCUUUCGGGUUGUAAAGCACUUUCAGUCGGGAGGAAAGGGUGCAGGCUAAUAUCCUGUGCAGUUGACGUUACCGACAGAAGAAGCACCGGCAAACUCCGUGCCAGCAGCCGCGGUAAUACGGAGGGUGCGAGCGUUAAUCGGAAUUACUGGGCGUAAAGCGCGCGUAGGCGGUGACUUAAGCGAGAUGUGAAAUCCCCGGGCUCAACCUGGGCAUGGCAUUUCGAACUGGGUGACUGGAGUUUUGGAGAGGAGAGUGGAAUUCCCGGUGUAGCGGUGAAAUGCGUAGAGAUCGGGAGGAACAUCAGUGGCGAAGGCGGCUCUCUGGCCAAAAACUGACGCUGAGGCGCGAAAGCGUGGGGAUCAAAC
rnacentral:rRNA from 1 species